UACGUAGGGUGCAAGCGUUGUCCGGAAUUAUUGGGCGUAAAGAGCGUGUAGGCGGCCCGAUUAGUCCGCUGUGAAAGUCCAGGGCUCAACCCUGGAAUGCCGGUGGAUACUGUCGGGCUAGAGUCCGGAAGGGGCGAGUGGAAUUCCUGGUGUAGCGGUGAAAUGCGCAGAUAUCAGGAGGAACACCGGUGGCGAAGGCGGGUCUCUGGGCAGUAACUGACGCUGAGGAGCGAAAGCGUGGGGGAGCGAACAGG
rnacentral:rRNA from 1 species